UACGUAGGUGACCAGCGUUGUCCGGAUUUACUGGGCGUAAAGAGCGCGCAGGCGGUCGUUCAAGUCGAGUGUGAAAGCCCCCGGCUCAACUGGGGAGGGUCAUUCGAUACUGAUCGACUCGAAGGCAGGAGAGGGUAGUGGAAUUCCCGGUGUAGUGGUGAAAUGCGUAGAUAUCGGGAGGAACACCAGUGGCGAAGGCGGCUCUCUGGACCAGCACUGACACUGAGGCACGAAAGCGUGGGGAGCAAACAGG
rnacentral:rRNA from 1 species